ACUGUGGAGUUUAAUGGAAUGCAAGUAAUGGGGCAGCCUUGCAACAACAAGAAGAGUGCAGAGAAGGAUGCAGCGGCUGAGGCCCUGCAGUCACUGAUGGGUGGGGCCCAGACAGGCCAUGAAUACAUUAAUCAAAUGUCAAUGCUGCUAAAGAAAAGCAAGAAGGAUCACUACUGAACUAGCAUUUUUGAGCAUCCCAUAAGACAGCUCUUCCUGAAUUUAAAAAGCAUAGUAUGUGCUUAGCCAUGCCUGAUCAGGCUACAUGUAGCCGCAUUGUUAUGUGGGUCCAUCUGCUCUUCUCCAUCUUUGAGGAAAAAGAGAAUGGAAUGCAACAUUACUUUACUAAGCCUAGCCUUGCGUUGAUGUACCGGUACGGCAUUUAGCAAAUGGAGUGAUAUAGCAAUCUGGCACCAGAAUUGUGGGCUCAUGCUAGUUCAAGUUAAUUUGGAUUAAUUGACCUGGUUUCAGAGUUCAGACAUGGAGUUAAACCUGACUAUUUAGUAUUUACUAACUGGUGCUCAUCACUGUUUUCCAGUUUGUUGAUGUUUGAAGCUGCGUGAUUGAUACAGGCAAUGCAUUCAUCUCACGCAGACCUUCUGGAAUAGCAUGGAAGUAUACAGUACGCAGAUUUUUGAUAGGAAUAGGAGUAUAUUGUAACCCUUUCGAGUCUAUUAGAUUUUAACUGAUUUUUGUGUAUAAAUGUGAUGCUAGAGACCUGAGAGGUCUGUAUAUUGUAAUGGUUGAAUGGUGAACGGCUAACAGUAUGCAACUCUUUUAUUGUUAUUAAAGGCCAUAGCGUGAAGGAUCUCCAUGCAUUUUGUUUCGUUCGUUAUUUUGGCGCUGCUGGUCUUGGAGCAUUUGAUGGCUGACAGGAAGUUCCUCAUAAAACCAGUGCUGGCUGCUGGCUUGCUUCUGUUGCAAAUUGACCUUGAUUAUGGCCAAGCAAUGAGAGCUUGUGCUCGGAUUGACUGACCUCAAUAUGGUAUUUAAUUUAGAUAUUACAUGCUUUUCAUGUUCAAAAGAUGUUCUGAUUCAAAACAAAAUUGAUUUUUGUACAGUUGCUAUUGAGUGGAAUUAGAUUCGAGAACAUUUGAUUUGAGUAGUUUGGAUAUUUCAGGUUUUGAUCGGUUGGCUAUAUAUGAUUAGCCAUUAGGUCUGCAGUGAAA
rnacentral:misc_RNA from 1 species